rnacentral:tRNA from 1 species
AGGCUUAUAGCUCAGUUGGUUAGAGCGCACCCCUGAUAAGGGUGAGGUCGGUGGUUCAAGUCCACUUAAGCCUA